CUUUACUAGGAUUUUUAUAUUGAAGAUAACUUAUAUAUAAAUAUGGAGAAAAGUUAAUAUUAAGUAUAAAUAAAUGAAACAGCAACCCAAUGAUUCAAAAAGACUAAUAUGAAAGUCAUCUAGUCAAUAUUCUGUCUUCAACAAUAGAGAGGUUUCUAUACAAUUAAUGUAUAUCAACCUAUAAAUCGUCUAGAGUGUAAAAAGGUUGGGAAUAAAUGUGGUCGAGACCACCAAAGUAAAAAGAUUGGGAAUAAAUGUGAUAGAGACCACCAAAGUAAAAAGAUUGGGAAUAAAUGUGAUAGAGACCAUCAAAGUAAAAAGGUUGGGAAUAAAUGUGGUCGAGACCACCAAAGUUAAAAGAUUGGGAAUAAAUGUGAUAGAGACCACCAAAGUAAAAAGAUUGGGAAUAAAUGUGAUAGAGACCACCAAAGUAAAAAGAUUGGGAAUAAAUGUGAUAGAGACCAUCAAAGUAAAAAGGUUGGGAAUAAAUGUGGUCGAGACCACCAAAGUAAAAACGUUAGGAAUAAAUGUGGUCGAGACCACCAAAGUAAAAAGAUUGGGAAUAAAUGUGAUAGAGACCACCAAAGUAAAAAGGUUAGGAAUAAAUGUGGUCGAGACCACCAAAGUAAAAAGAUUGGGAAUAAAUGUGAUAGAGACCACCAAAGUAAAAAGGUUAGGAAUAAAUGUGGUCGAGACCACCAAAGUAAAAAGAUUGGGAAUAAAUGUGAUAGAGACCACCAAAGUAAAAAGGUUUGGAAUAAAUAUGAUAGAGACCAUCAAAGUAAAAAGGUUAGGAAUAAAUGUGGUCGAGACCACCAAAGUAAAAAGAUUGGGAAUAAAUGUGAUAGAGACCACCAAAGUAAAAAUAUUGGGAAUAAAUGCGAUAGAGACCAUCAAAGUAAAAAGGUUUGGACUAAAUGUGAUAGAGACCACCAAAGUAAAAAGGUUUGGAAUAAAUAU